rnacentral:rRNA from 1 species
UACGGGGGGGGCAAGCGUUGUUCGGAAUUACUGGGCGUAAAGGGCUCGUAGGUGGCCAACUAAGUCGGACGUGAAAUCCCUCGGCUCAACCCGGGAACUGCGUCCGAAACUGGCAGGCUUGAAUCCGGGAGAGGGAUGUGGAAUUCCAGGUGUAGCGGUGAAAUGCGUAGAUAUCGUAAGGAAGACCAGUGGCGAAGGCGGGUCUCUGGACAGUUCCUGACGCUGAGGCACGAAGGCCAGGGGAGCAAACGGG